ensembl:misc_RNA Metazoa_SRP Metazoan signal recognition particle RNA
GCCAGGGCGUGGUGGCGCGCGCCUGUAGUCCCAGCUACUUGGGAGGCUGAGGUGGGAGGAUCGCUUGAGUCCAGGAGUUCUGGGCUGCAGUGCGCUAUGCCGAUCGGGUGUCCGCACCAAGUUCGGUAUCAAUAUGGUGACCUCCCGGGAGCGGGGACCACCAGGUUGCCUAAGGAGAGGAUUAUGGGUAAUGUAGGCAGUACAUCAUAUGCCCAUGGGUGGGGGGGAGGCAGCAAUGGGGCGGUCGCGCUGCUCCCUCACUUGCUCAGGCUUCAGUCAAAGCCUCUUCA